rnacentral:rRNA from 1 species
CACGUAGUUAGCCGGUGCUUCUUCUGCAGGUACCGUCACUCUCGCUUCUUCCCUGCUGAAAGAGGUUUACAACCCGAAGGCCGUCAUCCCUCACGCGGCGUCGCUGCAUCAGGCUUUCGCCCAUUGUGCAAUAUUCCCCACUGCUGCCUCCCGUAGGAGUCUGGGCCGUGUCUCAGUCCCAGUGUGGCCGGUCACCCUCUCAGGCCGGCUACCCGUCGUCGCCUUGGUAGGCCAUUACCCCGACCAACAAGCUGAUAGGCCGCGGGCUCAUCCUGCACCGCCGGAACUUUCCACGCCCCAAGAUGCCUUGGAGUGUCGUAUCCGGUAUUAGACCCAGUUUCCCGGGCUUAUCCCAGAGUGCAGGGCAGAUUGCCCACGUGUUACUCACCCGUUCGCCACUAAUCCCCGGCGAAACCGGUUCAUCGUUCGACUUGCAUGUGUUAAGCACGCCGCCAGCGUCGUCCUCGUAGCCACGGAUCGAACUAC